CAGCAGCCGCGGGAAUACGAAGGGGGCUAGCGUUGUUCGGAAUUACUGGGCGUAAAGCGCGCGUAGGCGGACAUUUAAGUCAGGGGUGAAAUCCCGGGGCUCAACCCCGGAACUGCCUCUGAUACUGGGUGUCUAGAGUUCGGAAGAGGUAAGUGGAAUUGCGAGUGUAGAGGUGAAAUUCGUAGAUAUUCGCAGGAACACCAGUGGCGAAGGCGACUUACUGGUCCGAUACUGACGCUGAGGUGCGAAAGCGUGGGGAGCAAACAGGAUUAGAUACCCCCGUAGUCCCUGUCUCUUAUAC
rnacentral:rRNA from 1 species